rnacentral:misc_RNA from 1 species
GCCCAAUGGAAUGGGCAAGUCCACCUUGUUAAAGCUUAUUGCUUGGAGAAAGAUUCCUGUACCUAAAAACAUAGAUGUGCUUCUGGUUGAACAAGAGGUGGUUGGUGACGAUAAAACUGCUCUAGAAGCAGUUGUUGCAGCUAAUGAAGAGCUUCUCAAGAUUCGACAAGAAGUUGCUUCUUUGCAAAAUGCAACGUCUGCUACUGGUAAUGAGGAUGGAGAUGAUGAUAUAAAUGGAAAUGAUGCAGGAGA